GCUCAGAUUGAACGCUGGCGGCAGGCCUAACACAUGCAAGUCGAGCGGUAGAGAGAAGCUUGCUUCUCGUUGAGAGCGGCGGACGGGUAGAGUCAAUGCCUAGGAGACUCUGCCUGGUAGUGGCGGGAUAACCUAGAUUCCUGUACGGAAAACCUUGGAACGGCUAAUACCGCAUACGUCCUACGGGAGAAAGCAGGGGACCUUCGGGCCUUGCGCUAUCAGAUGAGCCUAGGUCGGAUUAGCUAGUUGGUGAGGUAAUGGCUCACCAAGGCGACGAUCCGUAACUGGUCUGAGAGGAUGAUCAGUCACACUGGAACUGAGACACGGUCCAGACUCCUACGGGAGGCAGCAGUGGGGAAUAUUGGACAAUGGGCGAAAGCCUGAUCCAGCCAUGCCGCGUGUGUGAAGAAGGUCUUCGGAUUGUAAAGCACUUUAAGUUGGGAGGAAGGGCAUUAACCUAAUACGUUGGUGUCUUGACGUUACCGACAGAAUAAGCACCGGCUAACUCUGUGCCAGCAGCCGCGGUAAUACAGAGGGUGCAAGCGUUAAUCGGAAUUACUGGGCGUAAAGCGCGCGUAGGUGGUUCGUUAAGUUGGAUGUGAAAUCCCCGGGCUCAACCUGGGAACUGCAUUCAAAACUGACGAGCUAGAGUAUGGUAGAGGGUGGUGGAAUUUCCUGUGUAGCGGUGAAAUGCGUAGAUAUAGGAAGGAACACCAGUGGCGAAGGCGACCACCUGGACUGAUACUGACACUGAGGUGCGAAAGCGUGGGGAGCAAACAGGAUUAGAUACCCUGGUAGUCCACUGCCGUAAACGAUCCCGAAUGCCAGUCGUCGGGUAGCAUAGCUAUUCGGUGUACGACACCUAUACGGAUCUAAGCAUUCCGCCCUGGGGAGUACGGCCGCAAGGUUAAAACUC
rnacentral:rRNA from 1 species